UACGGAGGGAGCUAGCGUUGUUCGGAAUUACUGGGCGUAAAGCGCACGUAGGCGGCUAUUCAAGUCGGGGGUGAAAGCCCGGGGCUCAACCCCGGAACUGCCCUCGAAACUAGGUAGCUAGAAUCUUGGAGAGGCGAGUGGAAUUCCGAGUGUAGAGGUGAAAUUCGUAGAUAUUCGCAAGAACACCAGUGGCGAAGGCGGCUCACUGGCCCGGUACUGACGCUGAGGUGCGAAAGCGUGGGGAGCAAACAGG
rnacentral:rRNA from 1 species